UACGUAGGCAGCAUGCGUUGUUCGGAAUUACUGGGCGUAAAGAGUGUGUAGGCGGUGUUCUAAGUUUGUCGUGAAAUCUCCCGGCUUAACUGGGAGGGUGCGGCGAAAACUGGAAUGCUAGAGGAUGGGAGAGGUAAGCGGAAUUCCUGGUGUAGCGGUGAAAUGCGUAGAUAUCAGGAGGAACACCUGUGGUGUAGACAGCUUACUGGACCAUUUCUGACGCUGAGACACGAAAGCGUGGGUAGCAAACAGG
rnacentral:rRNA from 1 species